UGGGGAAUAUUGCACAAUUGGCGCAAGCCUGAUGCAGCCAUGCCGCGUGUGUGAAGACGGCCCUCGGGUUGUAAAGCACUUUCAGCGGGGUGGAAGGCGAUAAGGUUAAUAACCUCAUCGUUUGACGUUACCCGCAGAAGAAGCACCGGCUAACUCCGUGCCAGCAGCCGCGGUAAUACGGAGUGUGCAAGCGUUAAUCGGAAUUACUGGGCGUAAAGCGCACGUAGGCGGUCUGUCAAGUCGGAUGUGAAAUCCCCGGGCUCAACCUGUGAACUGCAUUCGAAACUGGCAGGCUAGAGUCUUGUAGAGGGGAGUAGAAUUCCAAGUGUAGCGGUGAAAUGCGUAGAGAUCUGGAGGAAUACCGGUGGCGAAGGCGGCCCCCUGGACAAAGACUGACGCUAAGGUGCGAAAGCGUGGGGAGCAAACAGG
rnacentral:rRNA from 1 species